CCUCAAUGUCAUCAACAUAUUAAAAUAUUAUAACAAUCUUAGAGUGCAACUUCUAAUAUUCAUUCAAGUGUUCUCAGCAUCACUGAGAGGGAUGACUGGGCAUUUUCCAGCAGGAUUGCAUAAAAAAGGAGGCAGACAAGACUUCCUUUCCAUUGUGUUCCUUUAUUACCAUAUUUGUGAAGAUAACUUAAUCAGGAAGCAAAAAAAUAUACCAGACAAUAAAGUACUAAAAAUCUGAGAUAGAAAUAA